UACGUAGGGUGCAAGCGUUGUCCGGAAUUAUUGGGCGUAAAGAGCGUGUAGGCGGCCAUACAGGUCCGUUGUGAAAACUGGAGGCUUAACCUCCAGACGUCGAUGGAAACCGUAUGGCUAGAGUCCGGAAGAGGAGAGUGGAAUUCCUGGUGUAGCGGUGAAAUGCGCAGAUAUCAGGAAGAACACCCGUGGCGAAGGCGGCUCUAUGGGACGGUACUGACGCUGAGACGCGAAAGCGUGGGGAGCGAACAGG
rnacentral:rRNA from 1 species